GCGAAUAUAGCUCAGUUGGUUAGAGCGCCAGACUGUGAAUCUGGAGGUCGUGGGUUCGAACCCCAUUAUUCGCCCCA
rnacentral:tRNA from 1 species